rnacentral:tRNA from 1 species
GGUCCUAUAGUCUAGUGGUCAGGACGUUGGAUUUUGAUUCCAAAGUCGCCAGUUCGAACCUGGCUAGGACCU